UUAACCUUCCCGAGGAGAUGUGGCGCUCAUCAAACUCAUUCUGCCGGAUGGAUUUGGUUUACACAGUGAAUUUGUUUUUAUAUUGCUCCAACCUCCUGAUAUGAUUUACACUUGAUUUCGAAGCGUCACAGUAUGACUCAAAAUCACCCAUCCGAUCUCUAAAGAGGUGUGGUGUGUUGGAACGUGGCCAUGGUGAGAGUCAGCCCUGCAGCAUGAGCUUUUCCUCUGGUGAUCCAGACUUGUAUGAUUUGCCCGGUGCCGGGGCCAUGGAAACUGCUGUGAUGGCAAAGCACAAGAAGCACGAACCAUUCCUUUUGUUCAACUUUCCCCCCAUUAAAGUCACUGUUCUUGGAAAACAUUCCUAUUUUUGUCUGGGUGCCAGAGGUGGAACAGACAUCUACAACAAAGGUGCUGAAUCCAACUCUCUUCACAAUUGAGCUGUGCUACAGGGACUUCACGUGGGAAAUCAAACGCCGUUUCAAGCACUUCCAAGGUCUUCAUCAGUUGCUGCUGAUGUUCAAGGCUCUUCUAAAGCUCCCCCUGCCAACCUGCAUUUCUUUUUCACUUUUUAGAUGGCUGGUGGUGAAGGACUCUUUUGUUCUCUACGUGAGGCCGAAGGAAUGGUGAUCCUCUAUGAUAAGGGCUCUCACAUCAAGAUGAGCACCCAGGAGACUGGCGUCCAUCACAUAGUCACCGUCGAGAACCUCUGCAGGAAGGCGUCUGUUCUUAUCAUAUUUACAUUUUGCUGUGAUGGCAUAGCUACACAUUUGUGCUUACUGUCCUCCUUCGCAGAUUACUUGUGCUGUCUGUUCUAUAUCUAUAUAUAUCUGUAUACAUGCCACGAAUGUCACAUCCAUAUUAUUUGGGGACAAGGCAUGCUGUUUCUAUCAGGCUGUACUCAUAGAGAUGCUCUGGACUAAAGGUCAGUAUGUCAUAACGUAUUGUUGUGUAUACAGUAAGCAUUACCGUUUGCUUUCCUUAUAUGUACUGAAAACUAUUAAAAAUUACAGCUUUUUUUUAUCUGUAAGGGCACUACCUCUCAAGAGUGUCACGUCUCUGUAGCAUGAUUUAAUUCAUUCCAAUUUUAAUAAAGAA